rnacentral:lncRNA from 1 species
GGCCUGUGUGUUGACUCUGUCUUACACUCAUAGUGAUGCUUUUACCAAUCUAUUCAAAGGUCUUACACAGUGAUAGGACAUAAAACCGAGCUUUUUUAAUUUUUUAUGAUUUUAGUGUUCAUUGUGCAGUUUUAGAAUUAACAAUGUUUCUGUGAAGACAAGCCUCCUUUUGAUUAAUACUAUUUUACUUGGUUGUUUCUGUAAAGAAAU